rnacentral:tRNA from 1 species
ACAACGCUAGUAUAAAAAGUACCACUGCCUUCCACGCAGAAAGUUUGCAACACCGCAAGCGUAGUA